rnacentral:rRNA from 1 species
GUAGGGAAUCUUCCACAAUGGACGAAAGUCUGAUGGAGCAACGCCGCGUGAGUGAAGAAGGUCUUCGGAUCGUAAAACUCUGUUGUUAGAGAAGAACGUGCAUGAUAGUAACUGAUCAUGUAAUGACGGUAUCUAACCAGAAAGCCACGGCUAACUACGUGCCAGCAGCCGCGGUAAUACGUAGGUGGCAAGCGUUGUCCGGAUUUAUUGGGCGUAAAGGGAACGCAGGCGGGUUUUUAAGUCUGAUGUGAAAGCCUUCGGCUUAACCGAAGAAUAGCAUUGGAAACUGGAAGACUUGAGUGCAGAAGAGGAGGGUGGAAUUCCAUGUGUAGCGGUGAAAUGCGUAGAUAUAUGGAGGAACACCAGUGGCGAAAGCGGCUCUCUGGUCUGUAACUGACGCUGAGGUUCGAAAGCGUGGGUAGCAAACAGGAUUAGAAACCCCUGUAGUCC